AUAACUCUAUUUACAGCUCGGCAAACAAUGAAGUCAUAACAAACCUUUUUGUUGUUUUAUCUUUUUAAUUUUAAUUUUUGUUUGUGUUUUGCAUCCUUUUCUUUUGGUUUGGGAGGCCCCUCGAACACCCUUUCGUUUAUUCUCUUAAUUCUAACCUCUACCGUUCAUACCGAAUAGUGGAGGUUGCAUUUUAAUUCUCAUUUUUCUUUUUUUUUCCACUUUCUUUUCUCUCCUUCUUUUGCUGAAGCAUCCUGCCUUUACAAUAUUAUAAUUGGAAUAAAUAUCUCUGGGGCAUUUCUGAGCGUACUGUCGACUUUUUUGUAUUUCCAUUUUCUCGGCACUUUUGCUGAUUUUUUAUGCGUACUACCAACAACAACCUCAUCUUGUAUAUAUUGCAUACGACAUACAAGCUUUAUUCUAUUUUAUAUCUUUCUCCGGCUGUUAUUCCAAUCUUGAUCGCAAUAUGUGUAUUUUGAUUCCUGAUCGGGACUUGGGAAGUGUUCCAAGGCUGGCACAAAGUCCGAGUAAAUUGAGCUUUACUUUAGAAACUCUGGUGGGCUUGGAGACGUGUCACCGUCCUUGAUGAGAGCACGCAACCACACUUCACUAUUCAAGUGAAUAGUGUAGAAUUAACAUCUUUUUGCUAUCUUUUUUCAAGCUGUUGCUACCUCAUAAACUAGUAUGUACAUACAUCUACUACAGUACAUGGAUUUUGUUACAGGGACUCAGGAGGCUCCACCACACAAUGACACGACAACACUACCAGCAAAGAUGAAAGAAUUAGCUUCCACGCACCGGUGUUUGGAUAUAUAACCAGCCUAGCGGACAAGCGUAGAAGCGUAGGUAGUUUGUCGGGUGUACUUAGGCAAUAAGGCUCCAGUCUCCUGGCACACCGCCCAAACAGCUCUGUCGUGGUGUUUUGGUAAAUAAAUUUAAAAAAAAAAAAAGGUAAUUUGUUACUACUUAAAACACUUCAAAAGCUUCACCCAACACAGU
rnacentral:sRNA from 2 species